rnacentral:rRNA from 1 species
UACGUAGGGGGCUAGCGUUGUCCGGAUUUAUUGGGCGUAAAGAGCGUGUAGGCGGCCAGGUAGGUCUGCUGUGAAAACUCGAGGCUCAACCUCGAGACGUCGGCGGAAACCAUCUGGCUAGAGUUCGGAAGAGGCGAGUGGAAUUCCCGGUGUAGCGGUGAAAUGCGCAGAUAUCGGGAGGAACACCAAUGGCGAAGGCAGCUCGCUGGGACGUUACUGACGCUGAGACGCGAAAGCGUGGGGAGCAAACAGG